AUCUACGGACAUGCCACCCUGAACGUGCCCAAUCUCAGCUAAUCUCAGAAGCUAAGCAGGGUCAGGCCUGGUUAGUACUUGGAUGGGAGACCACCUAGGAAUACCAGGCGUUAAAAAAA
rnacentral:rRNA from 1 species